UCCAUCGCACGCCUGUCCACCGCCUCCCUCCAUUUGUGCGACGUCUCCUGCUUCUGCCUCACUUUUCUUUUCAUCUCGUCAAAGCAAACAGCGGUUCCACGAUCAUUCCCUCUCCAUCUUUGCGGUUCUGCUUCGCUUUCAUUCCUCUUUGCAAAGAACCGCCAUCUCUACCGAAACCUUCUGCCCCUUUUUGUUCUUUUUCUUCGACGUAUCUUCAUCCAACUUCAUGAAGACGAGCCGCUGAAGCAACCCCAACUCAACCGAAGCUGACUUCGGUUUGCAGACCCCUCCAUCUUACAGCCACGCGUCCCCACAGUCAACACCAGUUAAACCCCAUGUUCGAGUGUUGACUCCAGCAACAUAGACCGUAGCUGCUACUUCCUUCGUCCGCGUCUCCCGGCCCAGCAUCAUCGAAGACCACAGCCCCGUGAUCUCUCUCCCCCUCUUGCUGUCUCUCCACCGAAAUUCCUUGAAGCUGUCAGCGAAGCCGAAGUCCAUCCAGCUUGUUCGGUCAAGCUUAUUUCAACGAAAGAAGUCCACCGAAGCUGUCGGUUGUUGACCAGCAAACCGCUCGAAGCUCCCACCUCCGCUCGUCUCUGCGCACGUCUCUCUCUCCCCCACCGAUCUUCACUCCACGCGGUCAAGAAUCCAGCUGCUUUCCUCGCCGUUGACCCCGCAUCCGUGGAUUUCCUUGCCGAAGCAAUCUGCCAGCGAAACUGCCUACUCCAGUAACGUUGGUCUUCAGUUUUCGUGGCCCAACAGCAGCCUUUGCUGCUUCUUCGAUCGGUCAUCUCGUCCGAGUCCAUCUCAUCCGAAGACAAGCGUACAGCAGCCCACACGAAAUUGUCGCAGCCCAAGUGAACAGCAGCUUCAUUGAGCCCACGCCAUUUGAAGCCCAAGCAAAGUCAGGCCCUCAAGAAAUCAGCCCAACAGUUUCUUUAAAGCAAGAUCAGCCCAGUAAUUUGAGGCCCAAUUCAGCAGCCCAAUCUUGAAGCCCAAGCCCGCUAAGCAAGUCAACCCAAGCUCAGGCCCAAGUUCAGUCCAAGCCCAGAAUUUUCUGUGGGCUUGCGAGGCUUUUAGGCCCGGUCCGUGUGCCCGUCGAUAUCGCCGAAAACCCGAGUUUCAGCUGUUGUCGCGUUGCCAUCGUGGUGAUUCGGUCUCCGCUUUUACCAAGACCCUGAUGAAGAGCCUGAGGAGAAGGAACCUGAAGAGGAGAACCCUGAUCUGGAACCAAAUGAGGAGGAACAUUUUGGAGAAGAAGAUGACCACGAGGAGGAUCCUGAGUACAACCCGGAUGAGGACUGAGAUCCCAUCUUGUUUUGUCAGACCUUGAUUAUAUGUGGAGAAGUGUUAGAUCAGACCCCUGUGAAUAGUAUUACAUUAUAUAUUAUGAGGUGCUUUGUCUAAAAGAGUGGUUGUGAAGUUCAGUAUGGAAAUUAUGGCCCUACUUUUUUAUC